CGCGGCCUAUCAGCUUGUUGGUGGGGUAAUGGCCUACCAAGGCGACGACGGGUAGCCGGCCUGAGAGGGCGACCGGCCACACUGGGACUGAGACACGGCCCAGACUCCUACGGGAGGCAGCAGUGGGGAAUAUUGCACAAUGGGCGAAAGCCUGAUGCAGCGACGCCGCGUGAGGGAUGACGGCCUUCGGGUUGUAAACCUCUUUCAGCAGGGAAGAAGCGCAAGUGACGGUACCUGCAGAAGAAGCACCGGCUAACUACGUGCCAGCAGCCGCGGUAAUACGUAGGGUGCGAGCGUUGUCCGGAAUUAUUGGGCGUAAAGAGCUCGUAGGCGGCUUGUCGCGUCGGAUGUGAAAGCCCGGGGCUUAACCCCGGGUCUGCAUUCGAUACGGGCAGGCUAGAGUUCGGUAGGGGAGAUCGGAAUUCCUGGUGUAGCGGUGAAAUGCGCAGAUAUCAGGAGGAACACCGGUGGCGAAGGCGGAUCUCUGGGCCGAUACUGACGCUGAGGAGCGAAAGCGUGGGGAGCGAACAGGAUUAGAUACCCUGGUAGUCCACGCCGUAAACGUUGGGAACUAGGUGUGGGCGACAUUCCACGUUGUCCGUGCCGCAGCUAACGCAUUAAGUUCCCCGCCUGGGGAGUACGG
rnacentral:rRNA from 1 species